AGCCCUAAAAAAAGUCAAAAUUGAGGUUGGCAAAACAGUGCGUCAAUGCCAACCUAAAUCUGACACAGGUCGGCACCUCUCUGGCUGCAUUUUUUAGAUCAGAUACUAUCUUCACAUUGUAAUUUCAAAGCGGCAGCAACCAUCAGUAGCACAACCCAAAUUUUGUGUUUCCCACAACCAUAUUUUUAAUAUUCCUACGGCUGCUUCCAUUAGAAUUGUUAUGUAUUCGACGAACUUCACAGUUUCCCUGACUGUGUUAUGGAAGAUCACAAGCUAGUAGUACCAAGAUACCAUCUGGCAUCAAAGUUGUAUGACUUGGUGUUGAAAGAACAACAAACAAACACAAUAUCCUUUUGAAUAGUUGUCAGCAGAUGAAAAAAGAUAAUUCUACUGAGAAGAACUUGAUUGAGCCGUUGACAGAUCAGUAUUUAGGUCGGUAGUCAGCACUGCCAAAUGCUGACCUAGCUUGUAUCUGAGGGGUGUAUUUAGCUUAUAGUAGGUAUCUUUAGUUUGUAUAUUUAAUUAUAGUGGUUAACAAUAUGUGUAGCUGUAGGUCAUACCAUGCUGCUGUAUUGCUUAGAUGGUUAGAGCACUGUACUGGAAUCGCAGUUCGAUUCCAGCCAGGAAACUAAAGUUGCAUUUUUCGCUGCUGUCCUGGUUAGGUC